GACUUCACUCUGGGGUUGCUUGCUGGCUGAAAGGAAGGAGAAUCAAAUUUAGAAAUAUCUGAAAGGAAAUCCAGAUAUAGGCUAUUAAUAGAUGAGAGGUGAAGCUAGGCUAUAUCAGCUGCUGAGGUACUACCAAUUAUACUUAGAUUAAGGAGAGGAUUUUAAAUAAGAGCAUGAACCUAAGGCCAUGAGAGUGGGAGGAAUAGUGAGCUUUCAAAACUUCUAAUUUUCAGAGGCAAGACCUCAACCAUGGCUUAUGUAUAUAACAAAGGUGAUUUUACAUAAUAAGAGAAAUGAAAAUUUAUUUUCAGGAAAGUUUAGGAAACUAAGAAAAAAAUAAGGUUAAUUGUGUUUGAGGGACUAUCUUAAAGUUUCAAUAGUGCCAUAAGAGGAAAAAAAUAGAAGAAUAUAGAAUAAUGAAAUUGUGAAGACUCUCUGGCUUAGGAGGCAUCCAUCGUUUACUGCUGCCCAAACUUCUCUACCAGGCAUUUAAAAUCUUCCAUUCGCAGGUAAUUAUCCAGUUGAUAUUUAUCUUGUUCCAGUCACCUUUAGAAAGCUGUUUGGCAAGGGCAGUGACUGGAAGCUGGGAGAGAGGGUCAACAGCUGAAUCUCAGCCUGAUGGAGGCCACCAUUUAAU
rnacentral:lncRNA from 10 species